rnacentral:rRNA from 1 species
AAGGGCGUUGAAGGCCGACCGGAAGGACGGCUGGAGCGUUUGGAAGUGAGAAUGCUGGUAUGAGUAGCGAAACGAUCCGUGAGAAUCGGAUCCACCGAAAGCCUAAGGGAUCCUGAGCAACGCUCGUCGACUCAGGGUAAGUCGGGACCUAAGCCGAGGCAUAAAGCAUAGGCGAUGGACAACAGGCGAAAAUUCCUGUACUGCAUGAUGUUGUUUGAGGAUGGAGUGACACAGCAAGGAGCUUGAGCGCGCGACUGGAAAUGCGCGUCGAAGGCGGUAGGCUGAGUGAGAGGCAAAUCCCUUGCUCAAGGCCGAGAACUGACAGAUAGGAGCGUACUUCGGUACAAUCCGAAUUCAAGCGUACUACACUGUCGAGAAAAGCUUCUAACGAGACAUCAUGUACCCGUACCAAAACCGACACAGGUAGGCGGGGAGAGAAUCCUAAGGUGCGCGGGAAAACCCUCGUUAAGGAACUCGGCAAAAUACAUCCGUAACUUCGGGAGAAGGAUGGCCGGAGCUGGUGAAGAGAUUGACUCUUGGAGCUGGAGCCGGCGGCAGAAGAGAAGCCCAAGCGACUGUUUACCACAAACACAGGUGCCUGCUAAAGAGAAAUCUGACGUAUAGGUGCUGACACCUGCCCGGUGCUGGAAGGUUAAGGAGAGAUGUCAGGAGCAAUCCGAAGCAUUGAACUGAAGCCCCAGUAAACGGCGGCCGUAACAAUAACGGUCCUAAGGUAGCGAAAUUCCUUGUCGGGUAAGUUCCGACCCGCACGAAAGGUGUAACGACUUGGGCACUGUCUCAACGAGGGACCCGGUGAAAUUGAAAUACCUGUGAAGAUGCAGGUUACCCGCGACUGGACAGAAAGACCCCAUGGAGCUUUACUGCAGCCUGACAUUGAUUUUUGGCAUGUAACGUACAGGAUAGUUGGGAGACGGAGAAGGUAGCCCCCCAGGGUUACCAGAGUCGCUGUUGGGAUACCAACCUUUAUGUGCUAGGGAUCUAACUCGAGAAGUAACGAAGCUGAGGACAGUAUCAGGUGGGCAGUUUGACUGGGGCGGUCGCCUCCGAAAGAGUAACGGAGGCGUCCAAAGGUUCCCUCAGCGCGGACAGAAAUCGCGCGAAGAGUAUAAAGGCAGAAGGGAGCUUGACUGCGAGACAUACAGGUCGGGCAGGUACGAAAGUAGGGCUUAGUGAUCCGGUGGAAUGAGAGUGGAAUUGCCAUCGCUCAACGGAUAAAAGCUACCCUGGGGAUAACAGGCUAAUCUCUCCCAAGAGUCCAUAUCGACGGGGAGGUUUGGCACCUCGAUGUCGGCUCAUCACAUCCUGGGGCUGAAGCAGGUCCCAAGGGUUGGGCUGUUCGCCCAUUAAAGUGGUACGUGAGCUGGGUUCAGAACGUCGUGAGACAGUUCGGUCCAUAUCCAUCGCGGGCGUAAGAUACAUGAGGGAGACUGCUCCUAGUACGAGAGGACCGGAGUGGACGGACCGCCGGUGUACCAGUUGUUUCGCCAGAAGCACAGCUGGGUAGCUGCGUCCGGGAGGGAUAAACGCUGAAAGCAUCUAAGCGUGAAGCCCGUCCCGAGAUGAAGUAUCUCAUGUCGUAAGACAGUAAGACACCUUGAAGAAGACAAGGUUGAUAGGGUAGAUGUGGAAGUCCUGCAAGGGAUGAAGCUGACUACUACUAAUAUGUCGAGGGCUUAACUA